rnacentral:rRNA from 1 species
UACGUAGGGGGCAAGCGUUGUCCGGAUUUAUUGGGCGUAAAGCGCUCGCAGGUGGUUCGAUGCGUCGUGCGUGAAAGACCCCGGCUCAACUGGGGAGGGUCGUGCGAUACGGUCGAACUGGAGGCCAGUAGGGGGAUGCGGAAUUCCGGGUGUAGUGGUGGAAUGCGUAGAGAUCCGGAGGAACACCGGUGGCGAAGGCGGCUUCCUGGACCGACACUGACGCUGAGGCGCGAAAGCUAGGGGAGCGAACUGG